GGCUAACUCAUGUUUGUUGUAAGGACAGUUGUGGCAAUACAGUUAUCCUUACAACAAAUAAUUUGCCA
ensembl:miRNA